AUACUCUGGUUUCUCUUCAGAUCAUAUAAAUGUUUUGCCUUUUACUAAAGAUUUCCAUGGAGAGGAACAACUUUGAGUCUUAAGUAGAUUUUUUGGGUCCUUGUUUCAGUAAAGU
rnacentral:snRNA from 1 species